UUUUUAAUCAAUUUCAUGCUGAGUGUAACAGAAAUAACAUAAUAAUAUGCAAGGAGUAUAGAUGCUAGGAGAGUAUAUUAUAUUCAUUGAUGUGGAUAUAAGCCCAACUAUAAAAUAAUUAGGACAGAGAAACCUGUUCCAUUCAUUGUCCCUCCAGACUGAUUUGCAAACUGUGAGAUCAAGGACAGCUUUCUAUCAGUUAUGUAUUGGAAAACACAUGCUGAACCAUGCAUCUGUAAAAACUACAAGAAAAAAUGGUUGUAGAGAAAUUAAUGAGGUGCCACCCAAUAAAAUUUCAUGAGAUUCAAGAAUGUGAAGAUACAUGAGCAAUUUCAGAUGAUGCUGCAAGGUGUUUGGGAGAAAAUAAAAAGAGAAACUGAGUAAACAUUGAAUUUGAUAUUAAGAUAGUUUUUUAGCUCACAAAUGUUUUUUGUUUUGUAUCUGUAUUAAAUUUUUAUUAUACAGUAGGUACUUAGCACCCCAAUUAUCCGUGCUCCUCGUGACCGGAAGUGGCACGGAUAAUUGAAAAGCACAGAUGAUCCAAUCAUUAAUUUCUUAUACAGUGAGCACGUAAAGGUUGGAAUAAAUUCAUUUUCUCGAGAAUGGACGACUUUUGAAAAAAAUCCCAAAACAGGUCAAUUUUUAAUUUUAAAUUACGACUUUUUGGCAUAUAUAUAAUACUAGUGACGUCACCCAUCUGGGCGUGAUGAUGUCAUCGAUGAUUUUUUUAAAUGAGACUAGUAGUCGUGUGAUAGCUCAUUUGAAAGGUAAUUCAAUUCUCUAUUCAGUAAUAUAAACAUUAACAUAAUUAUUUAUACAGGGUGUCCAAAAAAUUUUUUUUUGUAUUAAAUUUAUUGACAUAAAAAGAAGAAUGUAUGUAAUUUAUUUAUUUCAAAAUACAUUUUACUGCUCGCAGAAAACAGAAAAAAAUGUAUAUUUGAAAAAUAAUCAUUGCUUUUUGCUUAAAUUAAAUGUUCAAAUUGUCACGAGGCUGGUGGGUACCUGCUUUAAUAUUAAAUUUAAGCCAAAAACAAUAUUUAUUUGCCAAAAACACAUUUUUUCCUGUUUUAUGAUAGCAGUAAAAUGUAUUUUGAAUUAAAUAAAUUACACUCAUUCUUCUUUUUAUGUCAAUAAAUUUAAUUCAAAAAAAUUUUUUUGGGCACCCUGUAUAAAUAAUUAUGUUAAUGUUUAUAUUACUGAAUAAAGAAUUGAAUUACCUUUCAAAUGAGCUAUCACACGACCCCUAUUCUCAUUUAAAAAAAAACAUCGAUGACGUCAUCACGCCCAGAUGGGUGACGUAACUAGUAUGACAUAUAUGCCAAAAAGUCUUAAUUUAAAAAUAAAAAUUGACCUGUUUCGGGAUUUUUUCCCAAAAUCGUCCGUUCUUGAGAAAAUGAAUUUAUUCCAACCUUUACAUGCUCACUGUAUAUGAUUCAUAUAAGACUAUUUCAUAAGAAUUUCUUAUGCAUGAUAUGUACUUACCUAUCAUAAAAAACUAACAGAAAAAAUAAAUCUUUCAUUAUGAGUCUCCUUUUCUGCAUAUAGAGUUUCUGUCGAGUGAUUAAAGUGAUGCUAUUUUGAUAAAACCUUAAAAAUUCAAUUUGAGUAAUAGAAAAUCAUAGCACGGAUAAUCCGCAGCCCGGAUAAUCUGCACACGGAUCGGGGUUCUACUGUAGUUGUAUAGGCUAAUUUACAAGAAUGUUAGUUUGUUUUUAUAGAUUUUACUUGAUUCAUAAAUAUUGUGAAAUUUCUUAUAAGAUUAUAUUUACAUAUAUACGCAUACUUAAUUUAGGUCUGAAUUUUAAAGAAUUGUUAAGUAAUGAUGUUAUUUUAUAGACAACAUUAUAAUAUACUAGAGUUGUACUUUAAAAAUCAAAAUAUUACUGGGUCCCAGGCGGGGUUUAGAGGGGUUUUACCUUCGCCAUUGCACCAAUAAGAGCCUCCCCUCCUUUGAUUUCCGAGAUUUUUAAUAAAGAAUAAAAAAUUUUAAACAUUA